UCAAUCUCGUGCGGCUAUAUAUACCGCCGGUCCCUCUAAGAAGAUUUUCAUUGUACGCCGGUAGUGAAGACCGCGACACGCCCGCCACCGUGACGCNNNACCGUGACGCGAGAGCGCCCCGGGAAGCGAGCGCGCGCGGGCCCUCGUGAUACCGGUUGCACGUCUAUUUAAUAGGCUAGAGUUACGUUCGUUAC
rnacentral:rRNA from 1 species